rnacentral:rRNA from 1 species
CUUGGUCAUUUAGAGGAAGUAAAAGUCGUAACAAGGUUUCCGUAGGUGAACCUGCGGAAGGAUCAUUAUCGAGUUUUGAACGGGUUGUAGCUGGCCUCUCACGAGGCAUGAUGCACGCCUGGCUCAUCCACUCUUAACCUCUGUGCACUUUAUGUAAGAGAAAAAAAUGGUGGAAGCUUCCAGGAUCUCGCGAGAGGUCUUCGGUUGAACAAGCCGUUUUUCUUUCUUAUGUUUUACUACAAACGCUUCAGUUAUAGAAUGUCAACUGUGUAUAACACAUUUAUAUACAACUUUCAGCAACGGAUCUCUUGGCUCUCGCAUCGAUGAAGAACGCAGCGAAAUGCGAUAAGUAAUGUGAAUUGCAGAAUUCAGUGAAUCAUCGAAUCUUUGAACGCACCUUGCACUCCUUGGUAUUCCGAGGAGUAUGCCUGUUUGAGUCUCAUGGUAUUCUCAACCCCUAAAUUUUUGUAAUGAAGGUUUAGCGGGCUUGGACUUGGAGGUUGUGUCGGCCCUCGUCGGUCGACUCCUCUGAAAUGCAUUAGCGUGAAUCUUACGGAUCGCCUUCAGUGUGAUAAUUAUCUGCGCUGUGGUGUUGAAGUAUUUAUGGUGUUCAUGCUUCGAACCGUCUCCUUGCCGAGACAAUCAUUUGACAAUCUGAGCUCAAAUCAGGUAGGACUACCCGCUGAACUUAAGCAUAUCAAUAAGCGGAGGAAAAGAAACUAACAAGGAUUCCCCUAGUAACUGCGAGUGAAGCGGGAAAAGCUCAAAUUUAAAAUCUGGCGGCUUUGGUCGUCCGAGUUGUAUUCUAGAGAAGUGUUUUCCGCGCUGGACCGUGUACAAGUCUCCUA